GCCGCGGUGGUUUGGAUUGAGACGAACAGAAACGCUGCAGGCGCUUCCCCGGGACAGUACGAGGCCAUAGCCCUGGCGCUGAUCCUGGCUGCCGCG
rnacentral:tRNA from 2 species